UCUUUGACAGGUAAGUCACUGAAGUAAGUGCUAAGGUGUUUUUAUUGUGUUGGUUGUGUAACGAGGUUCGAAAGACGAAAUUUAGGGCAGUGAUAGCAGAAAAUGGCUGGUUGCUUUGAAAAUGUGCAGCUUCCUCCUUGCGUGUGGUUUGAAGGCGACGACAAACGGAAUGCCGUGGCGUCUAUAAUAGCUGGUUUGCUGUUCUUUGCUGGCUGGUGGUUCAUUAUUGAUGUGGCUGCUGCAUAUCCUGACAACGCUCAGUUCAACAAGGCAUACCAUGUCUGUGGUGUUUUUGGGACUAUUUCAUUAUUCAUGAUAAACUCUGUAUCAAAUGCUCUCGUACGUGGAGAUGGCUACUCAGGAGGUUGCUUUGGUCCAAGAGGAGCACGCGCCUGGCUCUUCCUUGGCUUUGUUAUGGGAUUCGGUGCUGUCAUUGCCUCUUGCUGGAUCCUGUUUGCAGAAUACGUCACCAAUAAAAGCCAAGAAAGGUCAUAUCCAGGUGUUGGUCUUUUUCUACAGAAUGCAUUUAUUUUCAUCGGCUCCCUUGUAUUUAAGUUUGGUAGAGUCGAAGACCACUGGAACUGAACUGCGUACUGUGAUAUAUAAACUAGAGGUUUACUAGACAUUUUUCAAGUUGCCGCUUUUAUAUGCUGUUAGGUAUGUGGUUUAAAGAAAUUUUCACAGACUGGAGGAUUUAUCUCCUUGAUGUACAGCACUGGAAAAUUGUAUCAUCAUCACAUCAUUCGGCUCUGAGUAUUGUCAGUGGCAAAUUGAAGAAGCAGCAUGGAAGCAGUAAACUGUUGUCUGAACACGGAAGUGUGUGUCUAAAACCAAGCACCUGUUUGUGUAAUUUUUCAUCUGUUAGAAUGAAAUGCUUUUUUUUUUUUAAUUUGAAUUAUGGAAACUUAUGAGUUGCUGCUCUUGAUGUCUAGGCAAUCUUGUCAGUUUUUAAAAUUUUCACAAUAAUUAAACUAAAGUGUUUGCAAACAUUUCAUACAUACAAGCUGUAACCCUGAUAAUGAAGUUUUUUAUGAUAAAAUAAAUUGCAUUGUCUGCUUUGUAUAAUUCAGUUUUAAAUAUUGAUAUACUGUAUCACUUUUUCUGUAAACACCCAUGAAAUAUGUGCCUCUGCUUCUAGAGUACCACAAGAAAGUAAAGAGCAAGUAACAUAGACUCUUGCUAUUAGCUAAAGUUUUUUUCUGUACAUAAGGCACUCUGACUAAAGUAUACUGUGUGUUUAUCAUUGUUUUUGUGUGUGUGUGUGUGUGUGUGUGUGUGUGUGUGUGUGUGUGUGUGUGUUGUAUAGAUUAUUAUAGAAUCAGUUGAUGCAGGAAACAUGCUUCUAUCUUUCUGAUAAUUUCAGCCGCAGCCUCUCACAAGUUUAGUGUGAUGAACAAAACUUCAGAACACUUGCCUGUUGUCUGAUAUUAGGUCUGUUGUAUGCAUUUUUUAAGGGAGCUUUGGUGACUACUUUGUUAUAGCCCUAAUAUGUGAAGAGCAAAAAUUCCAAUUGAGAAUUUCUUAAGUUACCAGUCAUUUCUUGUGACAGUCCAUGCAUCAUAACAUGUCGUGGAAUCACAUGUAUUCAUUUAGUUUAAAAUCCAG